rnacentral:snRNA from 1 species
GGUAUGACAGGACCCAAGAAACCGAAACCCUAAAACAAAACGAUACUGAGAAGAUUAGCAUGGCCUUUGCGCAAGGCUGUCACGCACAAAUCGAGACAUGUGCCGAAGCCCU